rnacentral:rRNA from 1 species
GACGAACGCUGGCGGCGUGCUUAACACAUGCAAGUCGAACGGAAAGGCCCUGCUUUUGUGGGGUGCUCGAGUGGCGAACGGGUGAGUAACACGUGAGUAACCUGCCCUUGACUUUGGGAUAACUUCAGGAAACUGGGGCUAAUACCGGAUAGGAGCUCCUGCUGCAUGGUGGGGGUUGGAAAGUUUCGGCGGUUGGGGAUGGACUCGCGGCUUAUCAGCUUGUUGGUGUGGUAGUGGCUUACCAAGGCUUUGACGGGUAGCCGGCCUGAGAGGGUGACCGGCCACAUUGGGACUGAGGUAGGGCCCAGACUCCUACGGGAGGCAGCAGUGGGGAAUAUUGCACAAUGGGGGGAAGCCUGAUGCAGAGACGCCGCGUGCGGGAUAACGGCCUUCGGGUUGUAAACCGAUUUCGAAUGUGACGAGGCGUGAGUGACGGUAAUGGGUAAAGAAGCACCGGCUAACUACGUG